rnacentral:lncRNA from 1 species
UUUAAUGUCUUCCCCCUGACACUGGCCAGGCUGGUACAGGACCAUUGGCCAUUUUUCACUCAGAGCAGAAUGAAGGAAGAAUAAGAAGGAGAAGAUGGGAAAAGACGCAUGGAUCACAAAAUGCGUGGAGAACCUGCAACACGACUGAGGUCAGGAAUGAGAGUCUGUCUUUCAGCCACUGAUGUGACGUGAGGGGACAUCUGCCAGCUCAGGAGGGAGUCUGAAGCCCAAGAAGAUAAUUGAAGCAGUAAUAAAAUCUCAUUCAGGACUCAUUUUAGGCAGAAGGCAACACCCCAAAUAAGAACCCCUGGCCGUGGACCUGGGACAGCAGCAAUCUUGUUUUCUCUGCAGAACAGAGUCAUGGGAUUCCACAGCCACUGAGGCUCAGCAUUUAGGUACUGCCCAGUGCAACCAGCCUGCAUGUACCUGCCCUCCUCUGCCAGUGAAUUUUCCCCUGUAAUAAAAUCUGACCCAUUAUAAUCCCCAUUUCAUCCUACACAGGCAACGAACUGUUCUGAUUCUGCUUGCAAUCUAGUAUUUUGUUUUCUACAUGUUUCAUUAGCUUAAAGGGAGAAAAAAAUAUUUGUAAUGUUGAUUGUAGCUCAUUUCCUGCUCAGUGCUAUUGCCUGUAGGCCAGAGACUGAUAGACUGAUGUCAGGUCUAUGAUACCAGAUCAAAAUGGAAGGCAAGCUCUGAAUAUAAGUUAUUCAAAGUUGUGUUAAAAAAUAAUAAUAAUAAUUGUUCCUGCUAGGAUCUACAUUAACAAAUAUACAAUGACCUUGAUGCAGUGGUGGUUAUCAAAGAAAAAUGUGAGAUUAAUGAUGGAGAGAAAUGUUACCCAGCAGUUUACCCAACAUUAUGAAAUUCUAUUUCAAAGGAAAUGACAAUGAUCACUAAUCUUAGUGUUUUCAUUGUACUUAUCUUAAAAUAACAAUCACUUUUAGUAGGUAAAUGAGAUUUGGCCUUCCAGGAGAUAAGAAAAAAUGUUAAAGUUAUGUUUAUGAAAAGCCAAAUUGAGUGCUGUGAUUGCUGUGACCUUUUUUCUGUAUGCUGUCCUCAUCUACAUAGUCCUAUCUAUAGAUGAACUCUAAAAACCC